UACGUAGGGCGCAAGCGUUGUCCGGAAUUAUUGGGCGUAAAGAGCUCGUAGGCGGUCUGUCGCGUCGGCUGUGAAAACCCGAGGCUCAACCUCGGGCCUGCAGUCGAUACGGGCAGACUAGAGUGCUGUAGGGGAGACUGGAAUUCCUGGUGUAGCGGUGAAAUGCGCAGAUAUCAGGAGGAACACCGGUGGCGAAGGCGGGUCUCUGGGCAGUAACUGACGCUGGAGGAGCGAAAGCGUGGGGAGCAAACAGG
rnacentral:rRNA from 1 species